AGACUCUUUCUCUGCCUAUUAUCUGAGUGACUCUGGGUUUUGGUGUCUGCCUCCGAGCGUGUGUGUGUGUGUGUGUGUGUUGGAGGGAGAAAAGAGAUAAAGAGAGAGAGAGAGAGGGAGAGGCAAGCAGCGUUUCUUCUCCCCCCUUUAGCCUCCCCGUCUCCCUGCUCCCUGUCACUCCAUCCUUCCUCCCCUCUCCUGGACCACCCUCCAGCCCUACUUCGAGCCAGACCGAGACCCCCUACCACCCAGACCACCCCGGGACCCUAUGACUCUCCUCACUUCUCCGUCCCACCAACCAUAACCUCUGAGCAGGACUUCCUCUGUUCUCCUCUCCUCCCCUGGAGUGCUGUCUGUCAACAACUCAACUGCACAAUAUCCGCUGAAUCCACUUCCACAAUUUACUUGAUUGUAACAGGCUUCUGCUGGUCAGGCGCAGCUAAGUGUAUCGGCUACACGCCCAAUCUCUCGAUUCUGCUGGAAGGCUGCCAGCCACAGGUCACAUGACCUGGAAGAAAAAACCUGGGAGACUUUUGGGAUCCCUAUUCGCAUGGGCUGGCUAUCAACCUGAAGGGAAGUCCAAAGGCUGAUGAACUGGUCUGUGUCUGUGUGAGACCGCAUUGCUCUGGUGUCCUAUAUGCCCUGGGAACACAACACCCAGAGCAAAUCUGCCUCUGUAACAACCUGACGCAGUAGACUAUGUUGUGUGGACAAUUUGUGAGUA